UCCCCCACCCCAAUUACUGCACCAUUAGGGACAACAGCGAGUCUAACUCGCCUUGUCACACUCUGUUACUUGCAGCCACGUAAUGUUCCAUGUAAGCCUGGUGGAGCUUGAGACUCUGCACGUGCAUAGCCUAUUGAGUGUCUCUGUGACCUGUGGGAAGAAUUGGGAUGCAGAUCUCCAGGAAUGGGACUCUCUCAUAGAUGGGCAGGGAGACCCCACGCUUGGGGGAAGACUUCCCAAAAUACAGAAGGUCCAACAUGUGGGACACCCAGGUUGUACCUGAGAGAGGGUGACAAAUAGAUAAAUAUCAAAACAGUUUGGAAAUGCUUAGAAACCAAAGGCACAGUAAUUAACGUAUGCAGACGAUUGAAUGGGGUAUAGGCAUCACCAGCAUUGUGCUUUCUAGGCUAUAGCCGGGAAUGUUUUUUACCUUAACCUGAAUAUUUUUGACAAAGGAAAGAAAUAUAUACACUCAGUGAGCAUUACUCCACGAUUGAUUUAUUUCACUUCAAAUUCUCUCCAUUCAUGUGGAAUGAUUGGUGGAAACAGCUUCACACAGAGGGUACCUUGAUGUCUUUUUGCCUCCAUAUUCACAUAACCCCAUAUAUAUACACUCACUGAGCACUUUACUAGAUAUUUAUUAGACAUAUUUUUUAGACUUAUUAAACUUCUGCUGUUAUAGCCUAUCCACUUAGAGGUUUAACGCAUUGUGUUGCAUUACUAUUACCAUUCUCUGCAUACUCUUGAGACUUGUGUGUAAAAAUCUCAAGAGAUCAGCUGUUGACAUGCUCAAACCACCCUGUCUGGCAACAACAAUCAUUCCAUGGUCAAAGUCACUUAGAUCACAUUUCUUCCCCCUUCUGAUAUUAGGUGUGAGAAAUAGCUGAACCCCUUGACCAUGUUGCUGCCACAUGAUUGGCUAAUUAAACAUUUGCAUU